rnacentral:tRNA from 2 species
UACAUUAAGGUGUAAGAUGCACAUCAGUUUUUGAUACUGAAGGUGUUAGUUUAAUUCUAUCUAAUGUAA